rnacentral:rRNA from 1 species
GUGGCAGCCGCCGCGGUAAGACCGGCGGCCCGAGUGGCGGCCACUCUUAUUGGGCCUAAAGCGUCCGUAGCCGGCCCAGUAAGUCCCCCGGGAAAUCUGGUCGCUUAACGAUCAGACUUCCGGGGGAUACUGCUGGGCUAGGGACCGGGAGAGGCCGAGGGUAUUCCCGGGGUAGGGGUGAAAUCCUGUAAUCCCGGGAGGACCACCUGUGGCGAAGGCGCUCGGCUGGAACGGGUCCGACGGUGAGGGACGAAGGCCUGGGGAGCGAACCGGAUUAGAUACCCGGGUAGUCC